UACGGGGGGGGGCAAGCGUUGUUCGGACUUACUGGGCGUAAAGGGCGCGUAGGUGGCCUGUUAAGUCGAACGUGAAAUCCCCGGGCUCAACCCGGGAACUGCGUCCGAGACUGGCAGGCUCGAAUCCGGGAGAGGGAUGUGGAAUUCCAGGUGUAGCGGUGAAAUGCGUAGAUAUCUGGAGGAACACCGGUGGCGAAGGCGGCAUCCUGGACCGGUAUUGACGCUGAGGCGCGAAAGCCAGGGGAGCAAACGGG
rnacentral:rRNA from 1 species